AGUGAACGCUGGCGGUAGGCCUAACACAUGCGAGUCGAACGGCAGCACAGAGGAGCUUGCUCCUUGGGUGGCGAGUGGCGGACGGGUGAGGAAUACAUCGGAAUCCACUCUGUCGUGGGGGAUAACGUAGGGAAACUUACGCUAAUACCGCAUACGACCUACGGGUGAAAGCAGGGGACCUUCGGGCCUUGCGCGAUUGAAUGAGCCGAUGUCGGAUUAGCUAGUUGGCGGGGUAAAGGCCCACCAAGGCGACGAUCCGUAGCUGGUCUGAGAGGAUGAUCAGCCACACUGGAACUGAGACACGGUCCAGACUCCUACGGGAGGCAGCAGUGGGGAAUAUUGGACAAUGGGCGCAAGCCUGAUCCAGCCAUACCGCGUGGGUGAAGAAGGCCUUCGGGUUGUAAAGCCCUUUUGUUGGGAAAGAGAUCCAGCUAGCUAAUACCCGGUUGGGAUGACGGUACCCAAAGAAUAAGCACCGGCUAACUUCGUGCCAGCAGCCGCGGUAA
rnacentral:rRNA from 1 species